CGCGCAGGCGGCCUUUUAAGUUGGAUGUGAAAGCCUAUGGCUCAACCAUAGAACUGCAUCCAAAACUAUUAGGCUAGAGUGUGGGAGAGGAAGAUGGAAUUAGUUGUGUAGGGGUAAAAUCCGUAGAGAUAACUAGGAAUACCAAAAGCGAAGGCAAUCUUCUGGAACAUUACUGACGCUGAGGCGCGAAAGCGUGGGGAGCAAACAGGAUUAGAUACCCUGGUAGUC
rnacentral:rRNA from 1 species